rnacentral:rRNA from 1 species
AGCAGUCGCCGCGGUAAUACGGAGGGAGCUAGCGUUGUUCGGAAUUACUGGGCGUAAAGCGCGCGUAGGCGGCUUUUUAAGUCGGAUGUGAAAUCCCUGAGCUUAACUUAGGAAUUGCAUUCGAUACUGGGAAGCUAGAGUAUGGGAGAGGAUGGUAGAAUUCCAGGUGUAGCGGUGAAAUGCGUAGAGAUCUGGAGGAAUACCGAUGGCGAAGGCAGCCAUCUGGCCUAAUACUGACGCUGAGGUACGAAAGCAUGGGGAGCAAACAGGAUUAGAUACCCCAGUAGUCCCUGUCUCUUAUAC